UUAAGGGAGACCGAACCUGCCUUAUUGAUUCAAUUGUUAUGAUAAAUAACAGUUGAGGUAAUAUCGAUGAGAUGGUCAACCAAAGGUCGAAUCGCUGGUCUUUUAGAUAUCUAGCUUUCAAACUAUAAAUUUGGUUCGGAAUUGGGCUAUUAGCUCAGGUGGUUAGAGCGCACCCCUGAUAAGGGUGAGGUCCCUGGUUCGAGUCCAGGAUGGCCCACCUGUAAAGAGUUGGGAGUUAAGAGUUAAGAGUGAGGAAUAAAAACCCUAGCUUCAAACUUGUAAACUAUAUAACUUUUUGUCGUGGGGGUUUAGCUCAGUUGGUAGAGCGCCUGCUUUGCAAGCAGGAUGUCAGCGGUUCGAGUCCGCUAACCUCCACUGAAAGAAAAAGAAAUUGGAAUGAUUUAGCACCUAAACUAGGGACAAAUAGUUUAUAGUUUAGAAUGCUGAAAUGAUUUUCAGCCAGAACCAUGAAAACUGCAUAGUGACGUAAAUGUAAUGUAGGUAGCAAUUUUAGACUACCUGAACUUGAAAGAGAAUUGGUAACAAUUUUCUAAUUGUGAAGGAAGAACAAGAUUGAUGACGUACAUUCACAGACAAAAAAUUGAUUUGAUUAGAAUU
rnacentral:tRNA from 1 species